CUCCCCACUGCUUUCUAUCUCGCAUUAUUUUCUCUGUUUGCUCUUUCAUUUUUUUAAAUGAUUAUUUUUGCCCUAAACAUCCAUCUAUGACACCUGACAGCUGAUGUAAGCAACAAUGCAUUGCAUACAUUGCUGUCAUAGGCAAUGGCAUUAUUUUGUAAUAAGGUACUCUCUUCUGUUUGCCUGGUGCCUUCUACAACUGUAUAGACUUUUAGCAUGUUGUAUAAAAACCGGGCAUAAAUCUGGAAGCAUCAUCAAUGACAAGAAGUCAGUAGUAAUUAGAGAGUGACUGUGUGGGGUGGUGGUUGUGGGUCACACGUGAGGUUUGGUCGUAUCUUGUGGCAUCUACUUUUGCCCUCAGAAUUAUUUAACUUCAGUUGUUUAUAAUGUCAAGGAUCUCCGACAUGCACAUGAAAUCUGGCGACCCUUUUGUAUGAGUACUGAACUGCAUGUCCCAGCCAAAAUUCAUGUAACGGACUGACCUUAACAACAGUCAUACCAGGGCAGGACAAUAAAGUCACCCUUUUACAGCCAUGGGUUUGGAGGGAAGAGGUUAGCUGGCCAACCUGAAAGGGUAGAGGGGACAGCAGUCAGUACUUGUGACUUCAACAUACUGUUAAUUUGCACACACAAACAAUCAACAGGGGUUUAAAUAAAGCCUGUAAUUUUGAAAUGGGCCAUUGCGUUGCUUCUUCUGAAGAUCAGUGUUUUUGUUAUGUCUCUAGGCUUUCCAAUAGAGCUUAUAGGGCGUUUUCUCAUACUGUCAUCAGCUAAAAUAACAGUUUGGGAAAACAUGUUAAAUACCUGUCUGGACAACCUGCAUCGACGCAGAUGUCUGAAAACACAGACCGAGAGUGCCUAACUGCCGUCACUAAUGCCCAAUAUAAACAGGAGACUGGGAGCCUCCAUUGCAACAGGGAACAAAUCUCAUCAGUUGUCUAUUAAUAGGUUUGCAUUACAUUAACCGGCGCCAACAUGUAUUCCCAUAUCACAGGAAGCAAUCUCUACUGAGAGACUGAGUAUUUACUGCACAAACAAUUACAGGAUUAUUUGAACCUGCAGUAGACAAGAGAAAUGGAACCAAAUGGAGUUUGAGAAGAGAUUACCUAGUUAGUAGAGGGGUUGACACACUGAUUUAUCUGAGACUUAAGGAUUUUCCAUGCUCACCCAAUGAUGUGCAGCUCACUUGCCGGUGAUGGCCAAUGUGUUCGUGCCAAAAGCCUAAACCCAGUGUCUGUUAUACUACUUUGUAAAACACUAUUUGGAAGUUGAUCAGAUGUUUUGGUAGUCUACAGCAGACAGAUUAGUAUUCUCUGUUCAGCAGGAGCCAUUUACUUUCCAAACUGUGUUAUUACGCAAUUGUAUAUGAAAUGUUUUUGGAAAGCCCUUAUUUGUAUGCAUGCUAUUCACUGUCAGAUUUGCAGUGCGUUCCUCAUCAGGCUAUGCCUUGUUAUUAGGCUACACACAAUCGACAGACAGCUAGGCAAUAUUUUUUAAAUAAGCUAUUGGUCCUAUGUGGCAAAAUUAUAGGGCUUCUCAUUGUAUAGUAGGCUAUUAUGAAUUAUUUCAUUUCUUUCUGAACAGACAGCAGUUAUUCUUUGAACGUUUUUAUUUGAAUUUUUAUAUUGCAAAAAGUGACAAUUUUUCAUGCCACGAGAGGUACUGGAUCCGGCCAAAUAAGUUCUGGAAAGAAAUAGUCUAAAACGGAGAGGUGCCAGGAUCCGGCUCAAAUUAAUCACUGGAAUGGGGACUGCGUUAUCUUGAUUGUGUUGUGAAGAGAAGACCUCUCCUCUGCUGCUGUUGUGCUUCUUCACUCUGUAUGCCUCCCUCUGCCAGGUUGUGCUUCUUCACUCUGUAUGCCUCACUCUGCCAGGUUGUGCUUCUUCACUCUGUAUGCCUCACUCUGCCAGGUUGUGCUUCUUCACUCUGUAUGCCUCCCUCUGCCAGGUUGUGCUUCUUCACUCUGUAUGCCUCACUCUGCCAGGUUGUGCUUCUUCACUCUGUAUGCCUCCCUCUGCCAGGUUGUGCUUCUUCACUCUGUAUGCCUCCCUCUGCCAGGUUGUGCUUCUUCACUCUGUAUGCCUCACUCUGCCAGGUUGUGCUUCUUCACUCUGUAUGCCUCACUCUGCCAGGUUGUGCUUCUUCACUCUGUAUGCCUCACUCUGCCAGGUUGUGCUUCUUCACUCUGUAUGCCUCACUCUGCCAGGUUGUGCUUCUUCACUCUGUAUGCCUCACUCUGCCAGGUUGUGCUUCUUCACUCUGUAUGCCUCCCUCUGCCAGGUUGUGCUUCUUCACUCUGUAUGCCUCCCUCUGCCAGGUUGUGCUUCUUCACUCUGUAUGCCUCACUCUGCCAGGUUGUGCUUCUUCACUCUGUAUGCCUCACUCUGCCAGGUUGUGCUUCUUCACUCUGUAUGCCUCACUCUGCCAGGUUGUGCGAAUGUGUUUUGAAUGCUUAUUUUUGGUACAGGCUGUGGUUUGCCUGGUGUGGUGGUUGGGCGGGGGGAUCCAGUGCCCGUUCUCCUGCCAUAAUGAACGGCACCAGGACCACACUAACUCUUGGUCACAUUGAUCAAGGUUUCACUGUAACUAUUGAUCUAAACUUAAUCCAUCAUUUCUUUCCUUCUCCUCUGUCUCUCUUACUUCCACUGUAGAUUUGUUUUGUUUACCUGGUGACUUAUAAUGAUAAUUGUUUCUUGUCUUAACCCAAACUGUCAUAAUCACUAAUAAAUAAAUCAUAAUCCCCAUUCCAUUUCAAACUGUGUGCUGUAAGAGGGGCAGGGUGCAAUUUCAAUACAAUAACAAUAUUACAGUAGUAUGUUUUGAAUGGUGACAAAUCCAAAUUGCAGAGGGUUCUAGUUAGUAGUUAUUCUUUGACUUAUUAUGCUGUAAUGAAUAGGUUAAUGGCUCUCUGUAUGCUUUCUAAUUCUCAUGACUUUCUGUCUGGAGUUGAUUACUGCAUGUUUGUCGACCUUUUAGAUUUCAUGUUCCCCUCUAAAUGAUAAUUUGAAAGUCUCUUGUUCAGUAUUAUAGCCACUUGUUUUACGUUGCACCGACUUCUAGAAUUUCUCUCUGUCUUUGUGUGUGUUUGAUGUGGAGGAGUAACCGGCUGUCCGUUCUUUUCCC